GUGGGGAAUAUUGGACAAUGGGCGAAAGCCUGAUCCAGCCAUGCCGCGUGUGUGAAGGAGGUCUUCGGAUUGUAAAGCACUUUAAGUUGGGAGGAAGGGCAGUAAGUUAAUACCUUGCUGUUUUGACGUUACCGACAGAAUAAGCACCGGCUAACUUCGUGCCAGCAGCCGCGGUAAUACGAAGGGUGCAAGCGUUAAUCGGAAUUACUGGGCGUAAAGCGCGCGUAGGUGGUUUUGUAAGUUGGAGGUGAAAUCCCCGGGCUCAACCUGGGAACUGCCUCCAAAACUGCAUGACUAGAGUACGGUAGAGGGUAGUGGAAUUUCCUGUGUAGCGGUGAAAUGCGUAGAUAUAGGAAGGAACACCAGUGGCGAAGGCGACUACCUGGACUGAUACUGACACUGAGGUGCGAAAGCGUGGGGAGCAAACAGGAUUAGAAACCCCUGUAGUCC
rnacentral:rRNA from 1 species